rnacentral:rRNA from 1 species
UACGUAGGGUGCGAGCGUUGUCCGGAAUUAUUGGGCGUAAAGAGCUCGUAGGCGGUCUGUCGCGUCGGUCGUGAAAACUUGGGGCUUAACGUGGAGCUUGCGGUCGAUACGGGCAGACUUGAGUUCGGUAGGGGAGACUGGAAUUCCUGGUGUAGCGGUGAAAUGCGCAGAUAUCAGGAGGAACACCGGUGGCGAAGGCGGGUCUCUGGGCCGAUACUGACGCUGAGGAGCGAAAGCGUGGGGAGCGAACAGG